GCACGCGGCGCGACGCGGGGAUCGCGGCGGAGCCGUUUGUGAGCGCCGAGGGCUGCCAAGGGAAUGCCGCACGGCGCCGCGCUCAGCCCGGCCCCGAGCCAAACCGCAGCCCCGAGCACCCCCGGGCCGCGGUUUGGCUCGCGGAGUUGGAGCGGUGACUAAUGAUGGAAAUGUGCGUGUGCGCUCCUGCGUGCGCCUCGGUGCGUACGCGCUGGUGAGCAAAGCGAAUGCGGUGUCAGUGCCGCGAGCGCACGCCUGGCCGAGGGCAGGAGCGGAGCCCCCGGGGGUUUGCGCUGCCGCUGUUGGGGCGUGCUGCCGUGGUGCAGGCUCGCACAGCGCCGGGCGCAGUCCGUUUCCCCUGCUUGGGUUGGUAAAACCUCCACUCUGCAAAAUGAAUGAGAAAGAGAGAAACCCGUGGGCGCCAGCAAGCAGAGAAACAAACGAAACCGAUCGAUGGCCGUUGGAAGCUCCGCGAGCCGUCCUGCCCUCCCCUCCCUCUGCUCCCCCCCGUGCCGCCGUUGCCAGGACGCGCCAUGGCGGAGCAGGAGCUGGCCGCGCUGCCCCUGCCGCAGCUCCGGGAUCGCCUGGAGCAGAAGCGCCAUGCCAAUGACUUGCUGAGAGCCAGGGUGGAGUUGUUUCAGAACCAGUACCAUAAGAUGCAGCUGAGCAGCGCGGGCGUCCCACAGCACGGCUCCCCAUCAGAGCUGGUACCCGCACUGACACGUGGCAGGUCCAGAUCCAGGCUGCGCAGCAGUUCAUCGGCCUACUUUGCAGCCCUGACAGUGGAGCAGAAAUGUGAGCUGGCUGAGCGGGAGCUGCUGGACGUGAAAAGUGACAUUCAGAAGAUGAAGGAGGAUUCGGAGACGACCUUGCACGACCUCGAGGCAGUCAUACAAGAAGCAGAUGCUUGGUGGGCUGAUGUUAAGAAAGCUGUCAGUGACUUUGAGGAAGGCAUUGUCAGUACCAUCUCCAAUGAGAAAGGGAGCAUCACAGCUUCUGAGAAACUGCUGAGAUACCUGGAAGAGAAGAACCACCAGAGGGAUCUGACGAGACAGAAGCUGCGCUUAGAAAGCAAUUUUCUCAGGAGCUACAAGAAGAAGCUGCAGCAGCAGCUCAGGCAGAAGGAGCAGGUGGGAGACAUGCUCCAUGAGAUCCACGCAGAGCUGCUGCAGGUUAAGAAAGCACAGUAUGAGGAGGAGAUUGAUGAGAAAAACAAGGAGCUGCAGCAGCUAAAGCUGGCCUUAGAGAAGAUCCAGAUCCUCAACUUCUGGAAGGGACUGGAGAUCUACCACUGCACCUCCUGCCAGUGCCCUGCUCUUGUGUUCCAGAAAAAGCUGCACAAUGCCAUGGAAACAUCGACAGUUCUGAUGAAAGACAUCUCCCAGAGAAAAGAGAUGCUGGAGAAGGUCGAAAGAAAUACUGCUUUUGUGAAGGAGCAACAUGCCAAAGAGGAGAGACUCAUUGGGUGGUUGCAGAAGCAGCUGUCAGACUACAGCACUCCUCCCGUGAUGAAUUACGUGCAGACAAUGAUUGCUGUUGCUGACCUGGAAAAGAGUAUCAAGGCUUGGGAGAGGAAGGUGGCAAUUGCUGAGGCUGCACCAUCAGGCUGGGCUCAUGCUGGAACCUGAAGGGUGUGUAAGAAGAAGGGGACACAUGGUGCCUGGGACGUGUCUGGCUGCAGCACACCAGCCAGUCACCAGUGCUGGUGGUUCUCUUUGAUGAUCUCAGACAUUUCUUCCUCAUCUGUACCUUGACUGUUCUCUGGUAAGGAAUGGCUGUAUCUGGCCAAGAGCUGACAAACAUGAGUUCAUGGCAAAGUUGCAAGAACAGUAUCUUUGUCUCUGGCCCUGGCACAACUCCUGCAGCCUGGGAGGAGAUGUGGAGAUAAGAGAGGAGCAUUGUCAAAGCCCAAGUGCUGCAGCGAGCACUGAGUGCAGAUGACCUUGCAAAGCCACCACAGAGCAUGGAACCAAGUCAAGAUGUCUGGUAACCUGCACCUGCCUUGUGUGAUGCUUCAGGGCAA